rnacentral:rRNA from 1 species
AUUGAACGCUGGCGGCAGGCUUAACACGUGCAAGUCGAGCGGGGUGAUGGUGCUUGCACUAUCACUUAGCGGCGGACGGGUGAGUAAUGCUUAGGAAUCUGCCUAUUAGUGGGGGACAACAUUUCGAAAGGAAUGCUAAUACCGCAUACGUCCUACGGGAGAAAGCAGGGGACCUUCGGACCUUGCGCUAAUAGAUGAGCCUAAGUCGGAUUAGCUAGUUGGUGGGGUAAAGGCCUACCAAGGCGACGAUCUGUAGCGGGUCUGAGAGGAUGAUCCGCCACACUGGGACUGAGACACGGCCCAGACUCCUACGGGAGGCAGCAGUGGGGAAUAUUGGACAAUGGGCGGAAGCCUGAUCCAGCCAUGCCGCGUGUGUGAAGAAGGCCUUAUGGUUGUAAAGCACUUUAAGCGAGGAGGAGGCUCUUAAGGUUAAUACCCUUGAUGAGUGGACGUUACUCGCAGAAUAAGCACCGGCUAACUCUGUGCCAGCCGCCGCGGUAACAC